AGGCCUAACACAUGCAAGUCGAACGGAUCCUUCGGGAUUAGUGGCGGACGGGUGAGUAACACGUGGGAACGUGCCUUUUGGUUCGGAAUAGCUCCUGGAAACGGGUGGUAAUGCCGAAUGUGCCCUUCGGGGGAAAGAUUUAUCGCCAUUAGAGCGGCCCGCGUCUGAUUAGCUAGUUGGUGAGGUAAAGGCUCACCAAGGCUACGAUCAGUAGCUGGUCUGAGAGGAUGACCAGCCACAUUGGGACUGAGACACGGCCCAAACUCCUACGGGAGGCAGCAGUGGGGAAUCUUGCGCAAUGGGCGAAAGCCUGACGCAGCCAUGCCGCGUGAAUGAUGAAGGUCUUAGGAUUGUAAAAUUCUUUCACCGGGGACGAUAAUGACGGUACCCGGAGAAGAAGCCCCG
rnacentral:rRNA from 1 species